rnacentral:piRNA from 1 species
UGGCUAUGUGCUUGGGGGCUGAGGUGCUUU